GACGAACCGUGCGAACGUUGUUCGGAAUCACUGGGCUUAAAGGCGCGUAGGCGGGCUGCCAAGUCUGGGGUGAAAUCCUCCGGCUCAACCGGAGAACGGCCUGAGAUACUGGCGGCCUCGAGGGAGGUAGGGGCAUGCGGAACUAUGCGUGGAGCGGUGAAAUGCGUUGAUAUGCAUAGGAACUCCGGUGGCGAAGGCGGCGUGCUGGACCUCUUCUGACGCUGAUGCGCGAAAGCCAGGGGAGCGAACGGG
rnacentral:rRNA from 1 species